CGAAGACACUCGCAAAAAUUUCGCGAGUUAUCUUUAUGAAGCACUUUGUAAAGCAAACAUUCACUCUUUUAUGGAUCACAAACUCCACAAAGGAGAUGAUAUCUCACCCAUUCUUCUAAGAGCCAUACAGGAAUCAGAGAUUUCUGUGAUUAUUUUCUCUGCUGAUUAUGCUUCUUCAACUUGGUGUUUGGAUGAGCUUGUUCACAUAUUAGAGUGUAAGAAAAAAUUUGGAAGGAUUGUGGUACCUAUUUUCUACAAAGUUGACCCAUCAAAUGUUAGCCAACAAAGUGGGAGCUUUGGAUAUGGAUUUGCUAAGCUGAAGCAAAGAUUUAAAGACAACCCAGAGAGACUACACAAGUGGGAAAAUGCUUUGAUCCAGUCAACAAGCCUCUCUUCUAGAUGGGAUUCCACGAAUAUCAGGCCUGAGACCAAAUUCAUUAAAGAAAUUGUGGAAGAUAUCUUGAGCAAACUGAACUACUAUACAUCAUCAACAUCAUCAUGUCAUGUUGAAGGACUCGUGGGCAUUAAUCAUCAAAUUGAGAAAAUAGAAGAACUCUUGAUUGAUGCUCGGAUACUAGGAAUAUGGGGCACAGGUGGUAUAGGUAAAACUACCCUUGCCAAAGCUUUGUUUGGCAAAUUGAAAUCACAAUUUGAAGCUUCCUCAUUUGUUGGAAAUGUAAGAGAACAACUUGCAAGAAAUGGAGUUGAAAAAUUACAAGAACAAUGCCUUAAAGAAUUAUUAAAAGAUGAGGGCCUUCACAUCUACAACAUGAGAUCCACUUUUGUGAAACAUAGGCUUCAACGCAAGAAAAUCCUUCUGAUACUUGAUGAUGUGGACAAUUUAUUAACAGCAGAAGAUUUAACCAAGUUGUGUGAUUGGUUUGGAGAAGGAAGUAGAAUUAUUGUUACCUCCAGAGACAUGCAAAUUCUUAAGAAUUCUUCUGCAAGUACAACAUAUCAUGUUAAGGGAUUAGAGUUCAAUGAUGCUCUAAAUCUCUUCAGUUUGAAAGCAUUUAAGCAAAAUGAGCCAUUUAAAGGCUAUUUGGGGUUAUCAAAGUUUGUUGUGAGUCAUUAUUGUCAAGGAAAUCCAUUAGCUCUUGUAGUGUUGGGUUGUUUUCUUUAUCGAAAAACAAAAGAAGUGUGGGAAAGUGCAUUGGAAAAACUAAAACAAGCCCCACAUAAAGACAUUUUUAGUGUUCUAAAAUUGAGUUUUGAUGGACUUGAUGAGAUGCAGAAGAAUGUAUUUUUUGACCUUACAAUUUUCUUGAAGGGAGGAGCAUGGAGGGUUUCUCUAGAUUGUUUAAGAAGCUUAUAUGGUUCUUCUGCAUAUAUUGACAUAUGUGUGCUUAAAGAGAGACCCUCAUUUUAGUGAAUGAAAAUGGUGAUAUUGAGAUGCAUGCUCUUCUAAUGGACAUGGGGCUUGAAAUUUCUAGGCAACAAUUCAUAUCUAACCCAGAAAAACCCAUUCGACUAUGGAGGCACGAGGAUAUUUAUCGUUUUUUCAACAAUGACAAGGCGACGGUGGAGGCAGUUCGAUGCGUGUCAUUAGACAUGAGCAAGAUGAAAAUGAUUAAAUGGAGGUCUAGUGAUUUUCAAAAAAUGCACAAUUUAAUAUUCCUUAGAAUUUACAAGUCAGAUCAAAGGAGAAAGCCUUCAAAGCUGAACCUUUUUGGACAUUUGGAUUAUCUCCCAGAAGAAUUAAGGUUUUUUAGGUGGGAAGAAUAUCCACUACCAUAUGUACCAUUGCAUUUCUGUGCCGAGAAUCUUGUUAUCCUUGGAACACCUAAUAGUAAUAUCCGACAACUGGGCAAUGGGACUCAGCAUUUUCCAAAUCUAAAGAGAAUGGAUGUACAGUAUUCAAAAGAUCUCACUGCUAUCCCAGAUCUAUGCCAUACCCCUAAGAUUGAAAAGCUGUGUCUUGAUGGUUGUGUGAGUUUGGCUCAUAUCCAUUAUUCUUCAGAUGUCUCGGGAAGGAAUGUGACCCUAUAUAUACAAGAUAGUAGGCCAUUGGAGAUGGACAUUGAGGGCAUUUUUAGAAUGGAAGGGCUUAGUCCAUCAGGGUUUGAGAUUGUUCGCAGUUAUAGUUUGGACGGUUGCGAUAAUUUGUCAAUGAAGGUCGAGGUACGUGGCAAGAUCAUGUCGGGUGUUGGAUUUAAACACGUGGAAGAGAAUGCAGAAUUGAGACAGAGAUUGGAGUGUUUACUUCCAUAUGUGAAGAGAGUUGAAUGGUCGGAGAGUGCAAUUGAUGAUUUCAACCAACAUUAUAACUACCAUCUGCAUUAUACCGAUCCUUUUUACUCCCUUGCCACAGAUAAUGACCUACCACUUACAACACAAGUGGCGGCUAUGGCGACAACGAUGGCAACUACGACCACGUCAACGGAAUAUUAUGAUAGUAAUAACAGUGUUACAUUAACAAGGUAUCACAGCAGCAUCACUCCCAAGGAAUUGAUGAAUUAUCGGGAGCCAUUAAAUAAGAAUAUUCCUCGAGAUUUAAUUUUGAAAGCAUUUUAUUAUGGUUAUAGCCGACAAUGCGGGCGAACCAGUAGGUCAAGCGUCACGGGUUGGAAGAAUCUGUCCCCUUGAAAAGGUGGCAUUUGACCAAGCCUUAAGCUGCCAUUUUUAGGUGGCUCAACCUAUGUUACCGACUCUAA